UUACGGCCACAUCACGUUAAAACACCGGUUCUCGUACGAUUACCGAAGUUAAGCAACGUCGAGCUUGGUCAGUACCAAAAUGGAUGGCCGCUAGGUAAUAUCAGGCGCUGUAAG